rfam:Oikopleura dioica, whole genome shotgun assembly, reference scaffold set, scaffold scaffold_55
GAUGGGAUAGUUAAGUGGUAUAAUAACCAUGCUCCGGAGCUGGCGUCCCUGGUUCGAUCCCAGGUCCUGUCA